rnacentral:rRNA from 1 species
CUUGAACGCUGGCGGCAGGCCUAACACAUGCAAGUCGAACGAGUGGCGGACGGGUGAGUAAUGUCUGGGAAACUGCCUGAUGGAGGGGGAUAACUACUGGAAACGGUAGCUAAUACCGCAUACCAUCAGAUGUGCCCUGAUGGGAUUAGCUAGUUGGUGGGGUAACGGCGCACAAAGGCGAAGAUCCCUAGCUGGUCUGAGAGGGUGACCGGCCACACGGGAACUGAGACACGGUCCAGACUCCUACGGGAGGCAGCAGGGGGGAAUAUUGCACAAUGGGCGCAAGCCUGAUGCAGCCAUGCCGCGUGUAUGAAGAAGGCCUUCGGGUUGUAAAGUACUGUCAGCGGGGAGGCGUUACCCGAAGAAGAAGCACCGGCUAACUCCGUGCCAGCAGCCGCGGUAAUUC